UUUUGGCCUAGGCACAAACUCAGAAUUUAUUUGCCCUUUUCAAAUGGACAUGAAAUGUGAAUUGAGUAAAAGCCAUGAUAAUAUCGCAAUAUGGUAGUGAAGAGCAUUAACUACUAUAUACCCACAACUUCAAGUUUAGGAUCUCUCAUAUAUUUGGAUCCAUGGGCUUCCGGCCCAGAUAUAACAAAAUAUGUGGGGAGCCUCAAUUCAUUAUUUGAGGUUUAUAUUGAUAUUAUCCA
rnacentral:lncRNA from 1 species